GGUGGCUCAGUGGUAGAGUACUUGCUUUGCAUGCAUAAGGCCCUGGGUUCGAUUCCUUAGCACCA
rnacentral:tRNA from 1 species